AAAUUACUAAAACAUUUUCUCAUAAUUGAAAACACAUACAUUAUGUAAUUUUAUAUUUAUUUACCACAUUGUUUAAAAAGUUUAAUUUUAUUAACAUUUUCACUUGGAUUUACAGGACAGAGUUGAAGAGACUGCUAUCCUAGAACAGAAACGUCGGCGUGAUGAACAAAAAGCUGUCGUAAAAGUUGCGAGCCACCAAAAUGGAUCCCAAGAAGAUCAUCACUAUGAAAAAUAUCAUAAAAGGGAAAAAUCACCAUUCCGAGAUCGUUCGCACGAGGAAC